rnacentral:lncRNA from 1 species
GGGCAGAUCCAAAUACAUGGAGGCAGUGCCUACAUAUAUUAAUGUUUCUUGUAAUGUGCGUGUGUGUGUAUGUGUGUGUAAGUCAAACUAAUCAUAAAUUUUAUAAUGUGAAUCAUAUUUAAAAGUUUAAGAAUAAAUAUUACCCAAUCAGAAAAAAAAACUUAAUUGUAAAAGGGAAAAUGGGGGUUAUAUAUUCCAAAUACCACAGAAGAUGUUUGCUCAAAUAGUUUGGCUUAGGCCUUUUAAAGAGCUAGGAAACAGUGUUGAGGGAGUCUAUACUCUUUGCAUUUGCACAAUAUCUGAUUGAUUAAUUUCAAGAGUCUCAGUGAAAAUAUUCUUGAUUAGAGAGACUCUCUGGCCAAAAGGAAUUUCCUGCCUUAUUCUGUCCUCCUGCGUUCUCAAAGCAGCAGCAUUUAUGAUGUUUUUCCUUCCUUUCUUUCCCUCUCCCUCAAUUAUCCUCGCUUUCUUGUCCCUGUUCCACUUUUUGUCCCAUGCUAUUUGUCUUCCCCUCCCUUCUCAGUGAGAAGAACUCUUGAGUUCCCAUGGAAAAGGAUUAACGAUUUUCUUCUUUUUUUAUUUAUUACGUAUUUUCCUCAAUUACAUUUCCAAUGCUAUCCCAAAAGUCCCCCAUACCCUCCUACCCACUUCCCUACCCACUCAUUCCCAUUUUUUUUCUUAAAACACGAAUCAGUGUGCAAAUGCAUGCUAUCAUGGAGGUAGGGUUGAAAAAAAACUGUAUGAAAGGGAAACUUUCUUGUAGGCUCACCACUAAUCCAUUUUUCAUCAUGAAAGGCUAAAGAAAUUUACAUGUUAACCUCUAAAUGUUAUUUUUUUUCUCAUUUCUGGCUCUAACUAUUGUUCUCAAGCUUACAUUAGAUAGAUCAUUUUUCAAACAUGUCCCAAAGCUAUCUUUAAAACAUAUCUCUUAAGCCAGGCAGUGGUGACACAUACCUUUAAUCCCAGCACUUGGGAGGCAGAGGCAGGCAGAUUUCUGAGUUUGGGGCCAGCCUGGUCUACAGAAUGAGUUCCAGGACAACCAGGGCUACACAGAGAAACCCUAUCUUGAAAACAAACAAACAAACAAACAAACCACAUCUCUUCACUUGAUCUUAAACAAAAGGCUGAGAAGCAAUUAAAAAACACAUCUCUUUAGAGAACUAAACUCUGGCACUUAUUCAGCUACAUAAGGAAUUGCAUUUAGUCAGAUUGAUUCACUUUCUUCAAUAAACUAUGGCUUACAAGAGUCCAAAUUGGUUAUUGUCACAGUAGAAUGUCUGGGAAUGUGCAGGGAUAAGGUGAAGGUAUCUAGAAGAGUCUAUGUAGAUAAAACUGCCCUUAUUUGGAUACAAGCCAUCUAAGAAAUCAUUUUUGUAUGACAUGCAAAGACAUAAAUAAUACAAUGUGCUGACUAUUUGAGUCAUUUCUUUAUGGCACCCAUGCUCACACACAAUUUCUAGGACAAUGGCCCAGUUAGGAAAGAAGCCGGUGGUUAUGAAGGGACAGUAAGUAUUUCUUGGCCAUGAAUGGUUGUCAUGAAGAUGAUGAAUUGACCUUAUGCAUUCAAAAUUAAGCAUAGGAGGAAGAUAUUAGAGAGAAUUUAGGAAUCUAAUAUGACAGCAGCAUCUAACAGUACAGACCUCUGAAGGUAUAACCAAUUCCCUUAAUAAUAAUGAGUGCUUCUAUGUGUGAAGCUAGUCAGAUGGAAUACAUGUUAGGGCAUCUAAGCUUUGGAGAGAUAGGCAAUGGCUUAGAUGUUCUUCCUAAAGUGGAGUGCCUAGAGGGCAGGCAUACUGUGGUUCCUUUUGAGCAUUUAUUUGCCUCUCCUAAACUACUAACUUUUCUCUUUAUUAAAAUGCUAUAGUUAAUAUAUGAGAAAAGUAAAAGUAGAAUAUUUCCAAUGUACUACUUCUAAUUAAUUAAUAGAUCUCCACAGGUGUGUGUGCUCUGUGUGUGUGUGUGUGUGUGUGUGUGUGUGUGUGUGUGUGUGUGUGUAUGUGUGUGUGUGUAUGUAGAAUUAUAUUCUCUGGCAAUUGAGGAUAAAGGAAAUCGGCAGAGUUCCUCUCUAGCAUGCACAAGUCCUGGGUUUUAUUUUCAGGCAUGAUAUCAGAAUCUGUAAUUCCAGAACUUGGAAGAAUGAGGCAAAAGAAUAUGAAAUUCCUUUUCACCAGAAAAUAUGAAAACCAGAAGAUCCUGGACAGAUGUUAUACAGACACUAACAGAACACAAAUACCAGCCCAGGCUACUAUGUUAAUGUUUCUUGCCAGCAAAACCCUCAAUUACCAUAGAUGGAGAAACCAAAGUAUUACAUGACAAAACCAAAUUCACAAAAUAUAUUUCCACAAAUCCAGCCCUUCAAAGGAUAAUACAGGGAAAACUCCAACACAAGGAGGAAAAUAACACCCC